CACGGGUACCUACAGCCUUACCCCAUCCGUGUAGCUUCAUUGCGUGGGGUUUCCAGCACUGCAGCCUGAGUAAUCAUCAAGUGAGUAGCCUGUGCAGCAAGAACCCAUGCGAGGCACAACUUAUCAGCUUGCUGGCUUGGCUCCGCCCCCCGACAGCUCCUUUUUAAACAAAGCUCAAAAUAACAUAAAAAAACAUACAUAUAAAUCACAGAUUUCUAGAAUAGGGAUUGUAUAAUAUUUUAUUUUUAGUAGAAGUAUCCCCGGACUUGUCUUAUUUACAAGCUAAUGAUGCAAACUGCCUUAUGUACAAUUUCAGUUACUGACUGAUGACAGCGUUUAAAAGGGACAGAAAAAAAGAUGGAAUAGUUUCUUUGUCUCAAGGAGAAACUGAAAGAAUGAA